GGAAUAUAGCUCAGUUGGUAGACCGCUUGCCUCACAUGCACAAGGCCCUGGGUUCAAUCCUCAGCACCA
rnacentral:tRNA from 1 species